rnacentral:lncRNA from 1 species
UCUAUAUAUUUUUGACAUAUAUAUUGUCAGACUCAUAUAACAUUACGAAUAAUAUACGGACAAAUUUAUUGUCGGAUCGUUGAUAUUAACUAUUAAUUUUUUAAAAUUUUUAAUUAUUAGAAAUAUGUAAUUAGUUUACUUAAAACGUUCAGAAAUAAGUAUUUUUAUACGGAUAUCGAUUGUGACUCGAUUCAACCAGCCACUUGCCACUUGGAACAUAACUCGAUCUAACCCAACCUGAUACUUUGAACGUGACUCGGUUCAAUCCAACGUCCCGCCACAAGACAAGAUGCUGGCUUACUUGGUCCAACCUAGUCUUACGUUAUUUCGAAUGUGACAAUCCGACCUAACCUCUCGAUACACGGUAGGAUACGCACCUGCACAAAUUCGCUGUAUGCGAGAAUCGAAUCUGUGACUUUUGAUUUUGAUAUCACUUGUUAAUCGUUGGUGCUAAUCAUUAAUUCCACAAAUGUACAGAAAUACAUAAUUCAAUCACUUAAAGCGUAUAGAUACAAUGUCUACGAAUCUUAAUUGUAAAUCAGCUGAACCAACAUCACUCCACUACGAACAUAAUUUAGUCUAAUCCAACCUCACGAUAUUUCGAACGUAAUUUAAUCCAAUCUAACCUCUCGUCGUAUAGCAGAAAGCUGGCUUUUUCAAGCCUACAUUAAUUAAUAA